rnacentral:rRNA from 1 species
CCUACGGGCGGCAGCAGUGGGGAAUAUUGGACAAUGGGCGAAAGCCUGAUCCAGCCAUGCCGCGUGUGUGAAGAAGGCCUUCGGGUUGUAAAGCACUUUCAGUGGGGAAGAAAGCCUUGGGGCUAAUACCCUCGAGGAAGGACAUCACCCACAGAAGAAGCACCGGCUAACUCCGUGCCAGCAGCCGCGGUAAUACGGAGGGUGCGAGCGUUAAUCGGAAUUACUGGGCGUAAAGCGCGCGUAGGCGGUCUGAUAAGCCGGUUGUGAAAGCCCCGGGCUCAACCUGGGAACGGCAUCCGGAACUGUCAGGCUAGAGUGCAGGAGAGGAAGGUAGAAUUCCCGGUGUAGCGGUGAAAUGCGUAGAGAUCGGGAGGAAUACCAGUGGCGAAGACGGCCUUCUGGACUGACACUGACGCUGAGGUGCGAAAGCGUGGGUAGCAAACAGGAUUAGAUACCCCAGUAGUC